UACAACUCUGAGCGGUGGAUCACUCGGCUCGUGUGUCGAUGAAGAGUGCAGCCAACUGUGUGAAUUAAUGUGACCUGCAUACUGCUUUGAACAUCGACCUCUUGAACGCAUAUUGCGGCCGCAGAUAUCCUGUGGCCACGCCUGGCCGAGGGUCGGCUU
rnacentral:rRNA from 1 species